GAGGGUAUAGCUCCAAGUGGUAGAGCACGUGCUUAGCAUGCACAAGGUCCUGUGUUCAAUCCCCAGUACCUCCU
rfam:Camelus ferus unplaced genomic scaffold scaffold117170, whole genome shotgun sequence.